rnacentral:misc_RNA from 1 species
GCAGAGUUCAAACUCUCUAAACCCUUGUGAACGUAACUGAAACGUUGCAUUCGGCGGAGGCUCCUCAGGGCUGACCGCCGGAAGAAUCGCAAACUCUUGUUAUUAUUGUCAUCUCUGAGUACUUAUAAAUAAGUUA